GCGACGCGGCCGGGCGGGCGGUGGCGGCUCGGUGCCACCCAGGCUCUGCAGAUACCGCGGCGGCUCGGGGUCUAGGAGCAGCGGAGGCUGCCCCUCCCGGAAGACUGGGGUUAGAGUGACUGGUGACCUUUGGUGAUCCGGUGAUCUUGAGGGACCUCUGUGCCCCAUGGAUGGACAGGAACUCUCCUCCCGAAUUGCCCCCAACCCCCUUAGUUGCUGGAGUAACCACUGCGGAAAUAAAUGCCAAUCCCCUAAACACCUCUUUUA